rnacentral:rRNA from 1 species
UACGUAGGGGGCGAGCGUUGUCCGGAUUUAUUGGGCGUAAAGAGCUCGUAGGCGGUUUCGUUAGUCGGGUGUGAAAACUCUAGGCUCAACCUGGAGACGCCACCCGAUACUGCGAUGACUAGAGUCCGGUAGGGGAGACUGGAAUUCCUGGUGUAGCGGUGAAAUGCGCAGAUAUCAGGAGGAACACCGGUGGCGAAGGCGGGUCUCUGGGCCGAAACUGACGCUGAGGAGCGAAAGCGUGGGGAGCGAACAGG